AAACAUGUCCUUUAGAGUUAAAUUUAAGGUCUAACCUGCCCACUGAUAUAUUAAAUGGCCGCAGUAUUUUAACUGUGCAAAGGUAGCAUAAUCAUUAGUCUUUUAAUUGAAGGCUUGUAUGAAUGGUUGGACAAGAUAUAUAUUGUUUCAUAUAAAUUUAUAGAAUUUUAUUUUUUAGUUAAAAAGCUAAAAUUCUAUUGAAAGACGAGAAGACCCUAUAGAUCUUUAUAGUUAUUGAAUUUUAUUUAUUAAGAAUAUUUUAUAUUUAAUUUAUAUAAUUAUUUUAUUGGGGUGAUAGUAAGAUUAAUUAAACUCUUAUAUGAUUUAUACAUAAAUUAAUGGUUAUUUGAUCCAAUAUUAUUGAUUAAUAAAAUAAGUUACCUUAGGGAUAACAGCGUAAUUUUUUUAGAGAGUUCAUAUCGAUAAAAAGGAUUGCGACCUCGAUGUUGGAUUAAGAGAUAAGUUUGGGCGCAGCCGUUCAA
rnacentral:rRNA from 1 species